UACGGGGAUGGCGAGCGUUACUCGGAUUUAUUGGGUGUAAAGGGCAGGUAGGUGUUCCAUCAAGUUAGAAGUGAAAUCCUAAGGCUUAACCUUAGAACUGCUUCUAAAACUGGUGGAAUUGAGAACAGAAGAGGAAAGCGGAAUUCCCGGUGUAAGGGUGAAAUCUGUAGAGAUCGGGAGGAACACCAGUGGCGAAAGCGGCUUUCUGGUCUGUCUCUGACUCUGAACUGCGAAAGCUAGGGGAG
rnacentral:rRNA from 1 species